rnacentral:lncRNA from 1 species
GCCGUAGGAUAUGGCCUUACAUUAUAGUGAUUUUCUCUGAAACUAUAGCUCUGACUGAGACAAAACUUGACAGUUAUGCUUGAAAUAACUUGCAAUUGGAGGGAAAAAAAUUACAUUAAGUUUAUUUGAUAUUUAGGUGUUCUUUAGGUGUAAUACCACCAAAUCAUGGUACGCCACAUCCGGUUGCAUACGAAAGUAGGCCUAAAAAAAUAUUCCCUUGAAUUUGACAGUUGUAGAAAAUUAAUCCUGCAUUUUCAAUGCACUUAAAUUUUCUGAGUCGUAAAUAUGUAUGUUGGAUGUCUGAAUGCAUCAUUCUUUUUUUAUUUGAUCGUCUUAUAAAAU